rnacentral:lncRNA from 1 species
GAUCAAUGCCAAAUAAACUUUAUUAACUGAAGGAAGAAUGCUCCCCUAGAGAGUUUUUUUUUGAAAUAAAGGUUUAUAUGAUUUAGAAUUUUAGUAAGAAAAGAAAAAUUCAAGUCCAUUCAUUUCAUAUUUAUAACCACACUACAUCAAUUAACUUUUAAAAUUCUUGCUGGGAAAUUCUUGCACUGUGAAGAAUAGUAUGCCAGGUCAGCCCACAGGAAUCAGUUCCCAUGGGAACUACAAGGCCAUGCCAUUUAAAGAAAUCAUUUUAUUUCUAUAAUCCUCCAUUUUCUAGUUCAGAAAAUGGGUAAAGUCUCCUAGGGUAUAAUUAAUAUAAAACUAAUAUGAUGCUUUAUAAAAACUCUUUGUUGAAGAUAUAAUGCAUGAUACAGUACUUGCUUACUAAGUGAGUUUGAUGCCUUGACUUUGAUAACCAGCAUGUCAACCAAUUCAAGUCAAAUCAAAUAAAAAUCACAACAACAACAACAACAACAACAACAGCAACCCUACAGUACACUACACUACACUAUACUACACAAAACAAAACCAUUUUGCUAAUGACAAAACACUAUUUAGGACAAGCUUAUUACUUACAUGCUGAUCAUUUUAUUACUAAAAGUAUCAUCCAUACACAACAUAACAAUGCAGUUGUAAUACAAGCUACAUUUUAUUGACAGC